rnacentral:misc_RNA from 1 species
AAGUCGUAACAAGGUUUCCGUAGGUGAACCUGCGGAAGGAUCAUUACCGAAUUCUGGCACUCUGUGUCGAAUCUUUGUCGAGCCAGCGCGACGUGGUUCACGUCGUGCGAGGGAGCGCCCUUCCAGGCGCUCCAGCGCCGUUCCCCGGCUAUUAUAUGGUCGGGAGCUCGUCCACUUGUGGAGAAAGAACGGACCCGGUGCUUGCACCAACCCAUCUGUGCUUGAAAAGGAACCCAAAUGCAGUACAACUGCAAACGGUGGAUCACUCGGCUC